UCCCUGGUGGCUCUGAUGGUAAAGCGUCUGCCUGUAAUGCAGUAGACCUAGGUUUGAUCCCUACAUGGGGAA
rnacentral:tRNA from 1 species